rnacentral:rRNA from 1 species
GACGAACGCUGGCGGCGUGCUUAACACAUGCAAGUCGAACGGAAAGGCCCUGCUUUUGUGGGGUGCUCGAGUGGCGAACGGGUGAGUAACACGUGAGUAACCUGCCCUUGACUUUGGGAUAACUUCAGGAAACUGGGGCUAAUACCGGAUAGGUGCUCCUGCCGCAUGGUGGGGGUUGGAAAGUUUCGGCGGUUGGGGAUGGAUUCGCGGCUUAUCAGCUUGUUGGUGGGGUAGUGGCUUACCAAGGUUUUGACGGGUAGCCGGCCUGAGAGGGUGACCGGCCACAUUGGGACUGAGAGACGGCACAGACUCCUACGGGAGGCAGCAGUGGGGAAUAUUGCACAAUGGGCGGAAGCCUGAUGCAGCAACGCCGCGUGCGGGAUGACGGCCUUCGAGUUGUAAACCGCUUUCGCCGGUGACGAAGCGUGAGUGACGGUAAUGAGUAAAGAAGCACCGGCUAACUACGUG